rnacentral:rRNA from 1 species
AACGAACGCUGGCGGCAUGCCUAACACAUGCAAGUCGAACGAGACCUUCGGGUCUAGUGGCGCACGGGUGCGUAACGCGUGGGAACCUGCCCCUAGGUUCGGAAUAACUCCCCGAAAGGGGUGCUAAUACCGGAUAAUGUCUUCGGACCAAAGAUUUAUCGCCUUUGGAUGGGCCCGCGUUGGAUUAGCUAGUUGGUAGGGUAAAAGCCUACCAAGGCGACGAUCCAUAGCUGGUCUGAGAGGAUGAUUAGCCACACUGGGACUGAGACACGGCCCAGACUCCUACGGGAGGGAGCAGUGGGGAAUAUUGGACAAUGGGCGAAAGCCUAAUCCAGCAAUGCCGCGUGAGUGAUGAAGGCCUUAGGGUUGUAAAGCUCUUUUACCCGGGAUGAUAAUGACAGUACCGGGAGAAUAAGCUCCGGCUAACUCCGUG